GGCCUUAUGGUCUAGUAGCAUGAUUCCUCCUUUGGGUUAAGUUUCUGAUUGGAGGAGGUCCUGGGUUCAAUUCCCAGUGAGGCCC
rnacentral:tRNA from 1 species